UUGUGAGUAUGUGUAUAUAUAUAUAUAUAUAUAUGUAUGCAUGUAUAGACAAGUCAACAAAUUAUUCACAGUGAUCAAUGAUCAGUGAGAAGAUAAGUCCAUCAAAGCAUAAUUAAUUACCAAUCACUGAGUUCAUCAAUCAACUAAUAUUUGAAAUGAUCUACUAAUAACUAAUCAUCGAUCAAUCACAUUGUUAUACAAUUAAAAAGUGAUCAAUGAAUCAGCAUUAAUUCGUGUUCAGUCAAAUCAAUCAAUCAAUGAUCUAUCAAUAGAUUGAUUAAUGAAACUGAUCAAUUCAUAAUAAUAGUAAAUUGGAAGUGGGUAGGGGCAGGGCAGGGAAAUCAAUAAUUGAUCAAUACGGAAGGGAUUAUUUCAUGAAUCAAUGAUUAAUUUCAAUCCAUCAAUCCAUUGAUAAAUUAGUGAUCACUGAAUAAAAAGUGAACUAGACAAGCUGUGUGUGUGUGUGUGUGUGUGUGUAUGUGUGUGAGUGUGUGUGUGGGUGGGGUAUGAAAAUAAUUUUGGCAUGACACAUUAAACUCCCUGCUCUUCAUUAAAAAGAAUUCAGAUAGAAAUGAAAAUUUAAAAAAUGGCCGAAACUACCAUGGUAACAAGGAUGAUGAGGAUGAUGAUGGUGAUCUUUAUGAUGACUAGGUACUGUCCAUCUCUCUUCCUUCUCAGCAACCACUACGGUAUGGCUUCCACAGAACCGGAUCUACAUAACACACUAGCAAUCUCACAAACUGGGAGAACUUUGGUGCUUGAUACAGGACAAAGCUUUUCAUAAGGACCUUCCUAUCUAAUUUAGCAUGGGCCUAAAAUUUUAGGGAAAAUAUCAGUGUAAUCUCAACUGGAAACAACCAACCAUAACUAAAUGUUGCCAAGCAUUUAGUGUGUUAUUUCAACUCUUCCUGCCACAGAGAUGAUAAUGAUAAUGAUAAUGAUGAUGAUGAUGAUGAUGAUGAUAGUUCUUCCUACUGUAGGUACAAGGUCUGAUUUUUUCUUUUUUUUUUUUUUGAGUGGGGGGCACUAGUCGAUUCUAUUAAACAUGAGAGGGUAAAAGGUAAAAUUUACCUUGACUGAAUCUGAAGUCAGAACAUCAAGCUAAAAGAAAUACCACAAAGCAUUUUGUUUAGUGUGCUAAUAAUAAUAACAACAAUAAUAAAAAUAAUAAUAAUAAUAAUAAUAAUAAUAAUAAUAAUAAUAAUAAUAAUAAUAAUAAUAAUAAUAAUAAUCCUUUCUACUAUAUGCACAAAGCCUGAAAUUUUGGAUGAGGGGACUAACCAAUUACAUUGACCUCAGUGUUUCACAGGUACUUAUUUUAUCGACACCGAAAGGAUGAAAGGCAAAGUCAACCUCGACAGAAUUUGGAUUCAGAACACGAAAACAGACAAAAUACUGCUAAGCAUUUCACCCAGCAUGCUAACAAUUCUGCCAGCUUGCCACCUAAAUAAUAAUAAUAAUAAUAAUAAUAAUAAUAAUAAUAAUAGGAGAUUUAUUAACCAUGAACAUGUUUUAGAUCUUAAGCAUUAGUGCUAACUUUGGACAAUGCAAGGGAUAAUGAUGAUGAUGAUGGUUGUGGUGGUGGUGAUGGUGAUGUAGAUUGAUACAACUGGUGUCUUUGGUACUGAAAUAUACAUUUAAAAAAAGGGAGUGAGUGAGCCAGAAUAUCAAUCAGGUGUACAGACGAUGAGGAUGACAAGAUGAAAUAAGAAUAUUGAUGAUGGAAGAUGACCACCCAUGUGGUUAGCAAGUCCACUUCGCCACCAUGUGCGUUCACGGUCAGUCCCACUAUAUGACAUCUUGGGGAAACCCUUGCGCUAGAGUCCUAUAGCCUGAGGCUAACCAAUAUCUGUGAAGUGAAUUUAAGUGAUAGGCAGAAACUCUACAGAACCUGUUAUGUAUAUACGUCUGUUUAUUAUAUCAAAAGCUAAUAGUUUAUUCAAGUUCUGUCUAUAGUUAAACACAUCAGUUGUGACCAGCUGUCAGGUGAAACUUAAAUAAACAAUAAACUUUUACUUUCUGAUAUGAUAAACAUACAUUUGCUCUCUACUCUCAAGUGUUGAAUGGCUUAUCAGAUAAUGUUUGGAUGCUAUAUAACAUACACUAUACAAGAAUCAUAUAUUUUACAAUUCUAACAUUUUGAUAAAUGUAUAAGCUUACAUGUAUGUAUGUGUGUAUUCUUAAACAAGAAUAUCGUUGACAGGGACUUCAAAAUUUUGACCAGUUAAGCCAUCAUUGGCUGUCCGAUAAUGGUUUAACUGACUGAAACUUUGAAUGUCACGGUUGACAAUAUUCUAAAGAAUAAAUCUGUAUUGUAUAAACGUAUAGAGUAACCCCUCAGAUUAUUGUAAAAUUGUUUUAAUAACUUAAUAACAAACAUUAACACACACGCACACACAUGUAUAUAUGUAUGUAUGUAUGUAUGUAUGUAUGUAUGUAUAUAUAUACAUGCAUGCAUGCAUGUGUGUUUGUGUGUGCAUAUGUGUAUGUGUUUGAAUCUUGCUUUCAUUCUUCAGUAUACAAAAGUUCCAGUGUUCAGCAACUUCACUACUUUUAAUGUAUGAGACUCAAUGGAAUAAACUUUUCACUUGAAAAAUGUGUAAGGGCUGAUGACAGGAAGAGCAUCCAGUCAUAGAAAAACUGCAACAAUAAGAAUAAGAAUCAUCUAACCCAUGCCAGCACAAAAAAAAAAAAGAAGAAAACAAAUCUGACACAAAAAUGAUGGUGACAAAAAUGUAUAUGAUAAUUACUGUUAUUAAUUCAGAGAGGUUUGUAGAGCUGAUUUAAUACUCUUUCCAUUAAUACUAGACUGACACUUAAAUUUAUCAACCUAAAAGAGAUUUACACUUACAGCAUUACAAGAUGAAACUGAAUAAUAUAAGAUAAUGAAUUUGGUUCUUCAUUUCUACUUUUCCAAUUAGUGAUGUUUUGCCGUUGUUUAAUCUUAAGACAAGAAACCUAUAAUUAAUGGCAUUCCAUCUGUGAUAAACCCGUUAGGUCCCAGCUGGCGGGGGUGAUUGCCUCCCCCUUUGCAAAUAUAAGGACACAGAAAAUGAGUCAAUUGCCUCCCCCUUUGCAAAUAUAAGGACACAGAAAAUGAGUCAAAGCCGACAGGAAACGUCGAUGUUUCCUAGGGCUAAAUGGCGUUGGUGUAAUUCCCUUACAGGACUGUCACGUUGAGUUGACAGUAUACAACCACUAUAUAGAACUACAUUAUUAUUAUUAUUAUUAUUAUUAUUAUUUUAUUGUUUAAAGCAGCACAGUGAUUUGAGGGAAUUUAAUUAUAAUAUUCAGCAGAUCAAGUGACCUUCUUCAUUGGCAUACUAUCUAAUAAUACUUUCUUAUUAUAUGACUACACACAUGAUGCUUAUUUAUAUUUUUUUCUUUUUUUUUUUUUUUGUAGAUUUUUUUCAAAAAAUGAAAUGAGGGAUAUUAAGAUUUUCAUGCCUUCUGCAACAAGAAAUCAAAACUAGAAUAGCUUAAAAAUAUAAAUGCUUUAAAUUUUUGUUAUCAUAUUUCUACUGAAAUACAUGGCCUUUGUUUCAAUCGAAUAAUUUAGUAAAAUAACAUUUGUUAUUAUUAAGUUAGUGGUUAGGACAUAAACUAACAUAAAAAGUUGACAUGUUUCAAUUUAGAUCACUUCAAAGUAUUAAAUUUGUAUCUAUUGUAGAAUUAGGGUGGUCUCAGGCAGGUUAGUAUCAAAAUGGGUUACAUUCUGAUUUUUAAAAAGACCAUUAUUUUAUUAUAAUUGUUAUUAUAUUAUAUAAUCAUUCUGAUUAUUAUCUUUUAAAAUGAUGUCACAAUUGUAGACUCCAGCUUGCCCAAACUUUAAAACACAUGCAUGCAUGGGUAAGGCACACCUUAUUGGACUUCUAUGUCCAUAUAGAAAUAUACAUUUUUUUUUUUUUGAGGUUUUGGAUUUUUUUUUAAAAUGGAUUUUACGACAGUACAGUAUUAUUUUAAGGGAAUCUUGAAAAGCUGAGUUGGUUCUGGCAGGAUUUGAAAUCAGAAUAUAAUGGGAUCUAAUCAACUACCACAAGACCUUGCUACAGAUCAAUUGAUAAUCUUUUCUAUUAUAGACACAAGGCCUGAAAUUUAGGUGUUUGGCAGGGGACGAGUCACUUACAUAGAUCCCAGUGCUCAAUUGGUAUUUAUUUCGUCAACCCCGAAAGGAUGAAAGACAAAGUUGACCUCAGUGAAAAUUGAACCUAAAGACAGAUGAAGUGCCGUUGAGCAUUUUAUCCAGUAUGCAAACGAUACUGAAGUUUCGCUACUUAAUACCAAUAAUAAUGUUUUAUGAGUGGUGAAUGGAGGAGUGUUCUUUAGAACAUGGUCAAUUCAUGUAGGGGAAGGAUACUGAAAUGAUCCCAGUAGAGUACGAGAGCUGAACAUCGUCCUUCCCUAGUGGGAUUCAAACUCAGAAUACAGAUUAACAAAUUUAAAUACUGUUAAGACAUUUUAUAAAACCUGGCAUUCCACCAUCAAUUGCAACACUGAUAUUACAACAGAUGCUAAUUAUUCUUUGAAUUAAGUGAUAGCACAGUUAAAGUUGGUUGUAUCAUCUACACCCAUGAUAUAUUACUGGUACUUUUUUUUCUCCAUUAACUCUAAAGGAAUAAUAGGAUGAAGGAUUUGUGUUUACCAUUUCAAUAAUUUGAGCUUAAAAGACAGAUAAAAAAAAUUCUAAAUAAUAGAGUAACUGUGUGGUAAGUAGCUUGUUUACCAACCACAUGGUUCUGGGUUCAGUCCCACUGCGUGGCAGCUUGGGCAAAGCCUUGUGAGUGGAUUUGGUAGACGGAAACUGAAAGAGGCCUGUCAUUUGUAUGUAUAUGUAUAUAUAUAUAUAUAUAUAUAUAUAUAUGUGUGUGUGUGUGUGUGUUUGUGUGUCUGUCCCCCCCACCCAACAUCGCUUGACAACCGAUGCUGGUGUGUUUACAUCCCCGUAACUUAACGGUUCGGCAAAAGAGACCGAUACAGUAAGUACUGGGCUUACAAAGAAUAAGUCCCGGGGUUGAUUUGCUCCAACAUGGCCGCAGUCAAAUGACUGAAACAAGUAAAAGAGUAAAUGCAAGGUUACAAAUUUCCAUGGAAAGUAUUCAUUCAAUUAAAACAACAAGUCUGAUGUCUUUUAUUUAUUUUUUUUAGUUUUUGGUAAGUAAACUUGGAAGAAAUGUAAAGUCAAGAACUUAAAAUAUAGAGGAAUAAACACAGAUACUGAAGGUCUACUGUUUCUACCAUUCAACUAACUUUUACAAGGUGCAGUAACAUUACUUUCUACUACAGGUACAAGGCCUGAUAUUUUAGGGGAGAAAAACAGUCAAUUACAUUGACCCCAGUGUUCAACUGGUACUUAUUUUAUCAGCCCCGAAAGAUGAAAGGCAAAGUUGACCUCAGUGUGUAAAGCUGGAGGAAAUGCUUCUUACCUAUUUCUUUACUGCCCACAAGGGGCUAUACAUAGAGGAGACAAACAAGGACAGACAAAUGGAUUAAGUCAAUUAUAUCGACCCCAGUGUGUAACUGGUACUUAUUUAAUUGAUCCCAAAAGGAUGAAAGGCAAAGUCGACCUCGGCGGAAUUUGAACUCAGAACGUAGCGGCAGACGAAAUACCACUCAGCAUUGUGCCCGACGUGCUAAUGUUUCUGCCAGCUUGCCGCCUUGAAAUGCUUCUUACUAUUUCCUCCAGUAUACUAACAUUUCUAUGAGCUCGCCACCCUAAAAAAAAAGGUAAAAUGCUAAAAAAAAAAGCUUAAGGAGCAAGCAAUGUAUUUAAGUGAAUUGACCCCGAGAGCAUGGAAAGGACAUUGACCCGAGAGACCGAGACUGAGUAUCAAAGAAGAAGUAGGCAGGAAUCUUGAUGGAUGAGAUUUACAUUCAGAACAUAGAUGGGAUAUGACUACCAUAUUUACUUGUGUGUAAGUCACACUAUUUUAUACUUGAUUUUAAGUAAAAAAAACUGGGGUGUGACUUAUACAGGGGGCAAAGUUUAUAUCAAGUUUGAAUAGGGAGGGAGAAAGAUUUGUACCAGGAUUUAAUACUAAAUUCAACGUGUAACACACGUGCAAGUAAAAACAGUAAAGGAAAGCAAAAAAAAGUAAUCCAACGUUUAGCCAUUCUGAUCAAUCUAUUGCCUUUUAGAAAGGGUAAAAUAUUAGAAAUGGUUUAAAAAAUAAUCUUACUUCUGUUUCGGAGAGAACUUUAAAUGUGUAGAUCACACCAUUGACACAGUAGUUGAAUAGAAAUUAAACUAAUAAGAGAAAUUGCCUCGUUGUCGAAGAAGAAGAAGUGACAGUCGAAAACCACAAGUAAAAAUAUCAUGUAGCUAGAACAGCACAAAACGAAUGGGGUGGGCUAAGUGAGCUUGAAGUUUAUUGGUGAUGUUCUAAGUAUUUAAGAACCAGGGGUCAUAAAACAUGUAAAAGCUUUCUGAUUUACAAACCCAUGUAAACUAUAGAGGCAAGAACAAAAAAAGCAGCCAUAAAAACCACUGAUUAUGAUGAUAAUUAUUAUUAUUAUUAUUGUUAUUAUUAUCAUCAUCAUCAACAUCAUUAUUAUCAUUAAGAUUGUGUUUAUGAUAUUACUGAAGAUGUGGGGGAGGGAUUUGCAAUGAUAUUUAUAUCAAAUUAAUAUUAUAUCCAAAUAAUUUAACACCAAAAGUGUUUGUAAAAUAAAGAAGGAAAAAAAAAACCAAUUUAGAAAUAAAAUGUUUUAAAAAAAUAAAGACUUGUACAUCAAUAAAUACCCGUGUAAUUCUGGAUGGAUUGUUGCAUGUGCGCGCCAAUGUGUUAUGCAACCUCAGUUCAAAUGUUGUUGCAUGAGUGAGAAUUAAAAUGAAGUGCGACAAAUACUUUGAAAGUUAUAAAGAAUUGGGGAAUUCUUGUGUCAGAGACACAAAAACAGAUCAAAAGUAUAUAUGCAUGUAUGCACUCGUGAGUAAGUGUAUGUGUGCGUGAAGUGUUUAAAACACAUUCAACAUAUAUACAAAUUUUGGUUGAAUAUGUAUAUGUAUCUAUGCAAGUAUUUAUAUAUGUAUGUAUGUACUUAGGUCUGUUCCUUAAUCAGUUUUAGCCGUCGUGGCUAAGAGAACACUGGGGCAGUGCUUCAUGUGUAUACACGUAGGUAUCUGCAGUUAAUAUUUUAAAUCAAUGUGGAUUUAUCCAAUCAGAUAUUUACAAUUUCUCAACUUACAAUGAAGAUGUCCAGCUCCCUACAAAUUUGGAUAAUGAUGCUAUCCUAUAGAGUUAGUAUGAGCAGAUUUACGUCUUUUGUGAAAAAAAAAUGCAUAUGUAUGCUUAUACCCAGAUAUAUACACCUACUCAUACAACUGCAUAUUUGUACAUUAUAUAUAUAUAUAUAUAUAUAUAUAUAUAUAUAUUUGUAUCUUGGUGAACAACUUUGAACUGGUUGUAUUGAAAAAUUAUUGUUAUAACUUAAAUUUAUUUUAUCGAAGUUUCUUCAUAUUUGCAUAUCAGACUCUUAUAGUUCCACUCGGUAAAAAAAAGAGUUCUUGAGUUCAUCUUCAUCAAAAUUUCCAGACUAUCUCAGCUUCACCUUCAGGAUGUAGUGUGGUUUGGGUUUCUAUGCCAAAAACAUACAAGGCCACUGUAAAAACAUGUCAGUACAGAAGCUGAAAUUAACCCCUACAUAGUAAAUAACAGGCUGAGAUAGGCUGGAAAUAUUGGUGAAGAUGAAUUUGGGAGCUUUAUAAGGGUCCAAUAUGGAAAUGUGAAGAAUCUUUUAAAAAAUAUUAAAUUAGAACAUAAGUCAUAUUUUCAAUACAAUGUGUGUGUGUGUGUGUGUGUGUGUGUGUGUGUGUGUGUGUGAGGGUCAAUAAUACCUAUUUGUUGUUUGUUCCUUCUUGAGCCAUGCCUGACUCAUUAGGGCCGGUUUCUCGGUUUCCUUGGCAUAUAGGUUCCCCACCUGGACAGGACGCCAGUCCGUCGCAGGUGAGCUGCAAGAUGCAGGAGGAAAGAGUGAGAGAAAGUUGUGGCAAAAGAGUCAGCAGAAGUUUCGCCAUUAUCUUCUGCUGGAGCCGCGUGGAGUUUAGGUGUUUCGCUCAUAAACACACAUACAUCACCAGGUCUGAGAUUCAAACCUGCGAUCUCUCGACCGCUUGUCUACUGCUCUAACCACUGGGUAAUGUGCCUCCACAAAUAAUACCUAUAGUGACAAAAUAUACAGUUUAGAUCUUAUUAUCCGACAUCUCACCAGAAACAGAAUAUAUAUAUAUAUAUAUAUUACAUAUAUAUAUAUAUGUAGGAGAGACACAGAGAGAGAGAGAGAGGGUGGGGCUACAGAUGAUCACCAUAACAACUUGCUCAGUCUAUAUUAUUUGGAAAUGUACCACACUGCCCAAACAAACCAUAAAUAUUGCAGCUUUUAUAUAUGUACAUAUGUAUGGUUCUCUUGUGUGCGCGUGUGUGUGUGUGAACAUGUAUGUACAUGUAUGUAUGAUGACUGAGAGUCUGUGUGCAAAAAGGAACCUUCCACAUAAAGUUUUGGUUGACAUAGAUACAAUCUGUGAUUGCACAGGAGACAAGUGAUUAAGGUUUCAACACAAAAAUCAGUGAUCAGUAAGGAGUGUGUGUGUGUGGGGUGGUGGUUUGCACAGCAUGCACGUCUGUGGGUGCAUGUGAAGUCGUACACUCACAGACACACAUGAGCAUACACAUGCAACCAUAUUUAUGCAUAAACAUCUAUCAGGCUUUCAUCACUCUCUUCCUCCCUCUCUCUCUCUCUCUCUCUCUCUCAAUAUUAUCGAUAUGUACAUGUGUUCACAUAACUAUGUACAUAACCUGUAUAGUAAAUAUAUAAACAGGACAAAUUUUAAGUAUUUCUUCAUAGACUGAAAAAUGAUGAACAAACCUUAAUUGAUUUUCAAACCUUAUCGGGCUCUCAUGAGAGAUGUCUACAUCAAUUUAACCAAUCCCAGAGAAGCAAACAACCAAUGUGUAUGUAUAAGGAUGCGUGUGAAUAUGUAUAUUAUAAUUUGUAUAUAUGUGUAUAUUAUAAUUCGUUUUUGAAUUUGGUUUGCAAGAUUCUUUAUAUGAUUAUUAUAAUUUGUAUAUAUGUGUGUGUAAUUAAAUGUAUAUGUAUGCACUGAAGUUGAAGCAUUGUUUAUGGCACUAGUUAAGUAUUAAUACUACUAAUACUAAUACUAUUAUGUUAAUGAACUACCACAACUAGUUAUUACUAAUAGUAGUAAAAAAAAAGAAAAACACAGUUAAUACUGACAUAACGUAAAGACCUGUGUUUGAUCUGGAAACCUCAGGGAAGUAGCACAGAAGACUGGAGUUAGGGAAAAGGAAAGGAGAAUGCUAAGAAUGCCAAUGAUGAUUGGUAAUAUAAGUCAUGCUACCAAAACUGAAUACUGCCUUUAUUUGCAGAACUAGAUAUCAAGGAAAGGAAAUGUCCACAGGAAGCACUGUGAAUUAAUGAGGGUUUUUUUUUUUCUGACAUAAGACACGUAUUUUUAUCCCUGCCCAUUGCCUGUUAUGACAGAGAGAGAGCCUAACAACAACAACAACAACAGCAGCAAUCAUAAUGACCAUCACUACCAGCAUAAGCUAGUGAGGGAGCUCUGAUGUGGCUACUCAACAUACCAGCAAGAGUAGCCAGCUAUCCCUCCAACCAAACAUUAAUGUUUUAGAUAAGGGGGAAAUAGACAUUACAUAACAUAGACCCUCCCCCCCAUAUCAUCUAAAACAAUGGGAUGAUCCAGGUUGGAUUACCUUGGAUCAUCAGGUCUGUUUGAUCAGGUUCGACCUAAGGACUAAAUCACAGCAACAACAACAUCAACAAUUAAUACCAGUAUGAGCACUAAAACUUCUAAACCAAGACAUUACUAUGGAAAUAGUUAUAAAAGUUAAUGAAACAUUCUGAAAGUGCAAU
rnacentral:lncRNA from 1 species